rnacentral:lncRNA from 1 species
AAGUAUUGAUUUUGCAACCAAUAAGCAUGCAAAAAUCAUGAUAGCAGAUAGCUUGAAACACCAUGAUUCUUUUUGACAAUAGCUUGUUUCAAGUAUCUCUCAGUUGGUGUGAAAAGGGUUUCGUCUAUUAUUCAGCAGAGGAAUCUACACCUAACAUAAGUGUUAGGAUUUCGCUACUAAGGCAAAUUACGGACAACGAACCUCAGCUCUUGGAGACAAUUUCUUCAAGAUCAAGUAGAGCAUUCUCCCAAACCAUUGUCUUAGACUGGAACAUAUAAACGUUCAUCAGGUUUUCAGAUGAAUGAAACUGGAAUGCAUGUAACCAUAAAAACAACCUUGGUGAAUGACUCCCCUUGGUUAAGUAAAUAGAAAAGUUUCUUGAUGACCUACCAAAUUUCAUUUGGAAACAUCUAGUAAGCUGCCACAGAAAGAAAGAGAGAAUAAAAACAACAACAAAGAAUACACAAUAGUAAGCUUUAGUGUUUACCUGGAGCACCUUGUAGUGUCAAGUAUGAUUCGCUGCAGUUUCCAGGAU